AUACAGAGGGUGCGAGCGUUAAUCGGAAUUACUGGGCGUAAAGCGCGCGUAGGCGGUUAUUUAAGUCAGAUGUGAAAUCCCUGGGCUCAACCUAGGAACUGCAUCUGAAACUGGGUAACUAGAGUUUGGGAGAGGGGAGUAGAAUUUCGGGUGUAGCGGUGAAAUGCAUAGAGAUCCGAAGGAAUACCAGUGGCGAAGGCGACUCCCUGGCCUAGAACUGACGCUGAGGUGCGAAAGCGUGGGUAGCAAACGGGAUUAGAAACCCUAGUAGUCC
rnacentral:rRNA from 1 species